GCGUUAUAUUAUUCAAUCUUUACUAUUUUAACCAUGGUAUUGAAUAACUAACCCCAAUAACCUACUCAGACCACCCAUAUUAAACACUCCUCCAGUAGAAGAACAAAAUUGUGAUUUAAUAGCGCAAAGACAACAACAGAAACAGCAAAAGCAGUUAGAAUUUCAAUAGAACAGAGAUAAAAGGGAACAAAUAUAAAUGAAAGAGCGUAUAACACAGUUAGUUGCGCAGCAGUUGUCGAUCUUGCUGCAGCUUUGUAGUGGAACAAAUGGUUUUGCAAAUGAAACAAGUCAACUGAUUGCACAAGAAUAUCAUAAUAAUUUGACAGACCUCGACCUAGUGCCAGACAUAGUGAAGUGCAUACGUGAGUUUUCAGGAAAUCAAGCUGAAUUCAGCUCUUGGAAGAAGGGAAUUGACAGAAUACUAGAGACUUACAAUAGUUAUAAGGGAACUCCAAAAUACUUCGUUAUAUUGCACACUAUACGUAACAAUAUAACGGGACACACAGAUAAUGCCCUUGGAAUGCAAUGGCCAGAUGCUUAACGCUCCACUUCGCCGACAAACUCGAUUUAGGAACGCUCGAGUAUCAAAUGACCACAAUAAUUCAAGAAUCCAACAUUCGAAGGACGAUUAUUUGACCAAAAAUCACAUUUUAACCAUUAACCACUCCCCGUAUUCACCUGAUAUGGCACAUACUGGUAGCCAUACCAGCCAACGAGCUAAAAACACUCGUUCGACAUGCUUUUGGACUGUGCAAAAAGCUGUAUUGAAGUAGAAGGAGACUAUUUUGAAUAAAAUAAAUUGAUUUUGCCGAAAAAACCA